CCCAGACUCCUACGGGAGGCAGCAGUGGGGGAUAUUGCACAAUGGGGGGAACCCUGAUGCAGCGACGCCGCGUGGGUGAAGGAGUAUUUCGGUAUGUAAAGCCCUAUCGGCAGGGAAGAAGCAAGACGGUACCUGACUAAGAAGCCCCGGCUAACUACGUGCCAGCAGCCGCGGUAAUACGUAGGGGGCGAGCGUUAUCCGGAUUCACUGGGUGUAAAGGGAGCGUAGACGGCCAUGCAAGCCAGGGGUGAAAGCCCGGGGCCCAACCCCGGGACUGCCCUUGGAACUGCAUGGCUGGAGUGCGGGAGGGGCAGGCGGAAUUCCUGGUGUAGCGGUGAAAUGCGUAGAUAUUAGGAGGAACACCAGUGGCGAAGGCGGCCUGCUGGGCUUUUACUGACGCUGAGGCUCGAAAGUGUGGGGAGCAAACAGGAUUAGAUACCCCCGUA
rnacentral:rRNA from 1 species